rnacentral:rRNA from 1 species
AAUGGCCGCAGUAUUUUGACUGUGCAAAGGUAGCAUAAUCAUUAGUUUUUUAAUUAAAAACUGGAAUGAAAGGUUGGACGAGAAAAUAUCUGUCUCUUUUUUAAUUAUUUAGAAUUUUAUUUUUAAGUUAAAAAGCUUAAAUUUUUUUAAAAGACGAGAAGACCCUAUAGAAUUUUAUAUAUGUUAAGUUAAUUAGUUUUAUUAGGAUUUUAAAAAUUUUACUUUAUAUAUAUUUAGUUGGGGUGAUUGAAAAAUUUUAUAAACUUUUUUUUUAUAAAUACAUAAAUUUAUGAAUUUUUGAUCCAUAUUAAUGAUUAAAAGAUUAAAUUACCUUAGGGAUAACAGCGUUAUUUCUUUGAAGAGUUCUAAUCGAUAAAGAAGUUUGCGACCUCGAUGUUGGAUUAAAAUUUAUUUUUGGUGUAGAAGCUAAAAAAUUAGGUCUGUUCGACCUUUAAAAUUUUACAUGAUCUGAGUUUAAACCGGCGUGAGCCAGGUUGGUUUCUAUCUUUAAAAUUUUUAAUAUAUUUUAGUACGAAAGGACCAAAUAUAUAUAAUAAUUAUUUUUAUUUGAAUAUUAUUAAUUAAU